rnacentral:rRNA from 1 species
UACGGGGGGGGCAAGCGUUGUUCGGAAUUACUGGGCGUAAAGGGCUCGUAGGUGGCCAACUAAGUCAGACGUGAAAUCCCUCGGCUUAACCGGGGAACUGCGUCUGAUACUGGAUGGCUUGAGAUUGGGAGAGGGAUGCGGAAUUCCAGGUGUAGCGGUGAAAUGCGUAGAUAUCUGGAGGAAUACCGGUGGCGAAGGCGAGUCUCUGGACAUUUCCUGACGCUGAGGCACGAAAGCCAGGGGAGCAAACGGG